UGGGGAAUUUUGGACAAUGGGGGAAACCCUGAUCCAGCCAUCCCGCGUGUGCGAUGAAGGCCUUCGGGUUGUAAAGCACUUUUGGCAGGAAAGAAACGUCAUGGGUUAAUACCCCGUGAAACUGACGGUACCUGCAGAAUAAGCACCGGCUAACUACGUGCCAGCAGCCGCGGUAAUACGUAGGGUGCAAGCGUUAAUCGGAAUUACUGGGCGUAAAGCGUGCGCAGGCGGUUCGGAAAGAAAGAUGUGAAAUCCCAGAGCUCAACUUUGGAACUGCAUUUUUAACUACCGGGCUAGAGUGUGUCAGAGGCAGGUGGAAUUCCGCGUGUAGCAGUGAAAUGCGUAGAUAUGCGGAGGAACACCGAUGGCGAAGGCAGCCUCCUGGGAUAACACUGACGCUCAUGCACGAAAGCGUGGGGAGCAAACAGG
rnacentral:rRNA from 1 species